rnacentral:rRNA from 1 species
AACGGUGAAGCCCAGCUUGCUGGGGGAUCAGUGGCGAACGGGUCGAGUAACACGUGAGUAACCUGCCCCUGACUCUGGGAUAAGCCUUGGAAACGAGGUCUAAUACCGGAUACGUGACGCUCAGGCAUCUGAUGCGUCUGGAAAGAUUUAUCGGUCAGGGAUGGACUCGCGGCCUAUCAGCUUGUUGGUGGGGUAACGGCCUACCAAGGCGACGACGGGUAGCCGGCCUGAGAGGGCGACCGGCCACACUGGGACUGAGACACGGCCCAGACUCCUACGGGAGGCAGCAGUGGGGAAUAUUGCACAAUGGGCGCAAGUGUAAGCAGCGACGCCGCGUGAGGGAUGAAGCCUUUCGGGUUGAAAACCUUUUUCGCAAGGAAGAAGAGCAGUGACGUUCCUGCUGGAGGAGCCCCGGUAAACUUUCUUUCAGCUGCGGGUUAUGCCGUGGGCCCCAGGUUGUCCCGAAUUAUGGGCGAAAGAGCUCGAAGCGGGUAUCGGCCCUCUGUAAACUCAGGUUAAGCUUGGCUUGCAGUGGAUAGAGCCGGCUCGCUCCGUAGUGAGCU